rnacentral:tRNA from 1 species
GCGGGUAUAGUUUAGUGGUAAAAGUGUGAUUCGUUCCUUUAAACCCUUUAAUAGUUAAAGGGUCUCUCGGUU